AAUAAGCGGAGGAAAAGAAACCAACAGGGAUUGCCUCAGUAACGGCGAGUGAAGCGGCAACAGCUCAAAUUUGAAAUCUGGCGCAAGCCCGAGUUGUAAUUUGUAGAGGAUGCUUCUGGGCAGCGGCCGGUCUAAGUUCCUUGGAACAGGACGUCAUAGAGGGUGAGAAUCCCGUAUGCGACCGGCUUAGCACCCGUCACGUAGCUCCUUCGAAGAGUCGAGUUGUUUGGGAAUGCAGCUCUAAAUGGGAGGUAAAUGUCUUCUAAAGCUAAAUAUUGGCCAGAGACCGAUAGCGCACAAGUAGAGUGAUCGAAAGAUGAAAAGCACUUUGGAAAGAGAGUUAAAAAGCACGUGAAAUUGUUGAAAGGGAAGCGCAUGCAAUCAGACUUGUCGGCGGUGUUCCACCGGUCUUCUGACCGGCUCACUCGCCGCCGGCAGGCCAACAUCAUUUGGGCGCGCCGGAUAAAGACGUGAGGAAUGUGGCCCCCUCGGGGGUGUUAUAGCCUCGCGUGCAAUACGGUGUCGCCCGAGUGAGGUCCGCGCUUCGGCUAGGAUGUUGGCGUAAUGGUUGUUUGCGGCCCGUCUUGAAACACGGACCAAGGAGUCUAACAUCUAUGCGAGUGUUCGGGUGUCAAACCCCUACGCGUAAUGAAAGUGAACGGAGGUGGGAACGAAAGUGCACCAUCGACCGAUCCUGAUGUCUUCGGAUGGAUUUGAGUAAGAGCAUAGCUGUUGGGACCCGAAAGAUGGUGAACUAUGCCUGAAUAGGGUGAAGCCAGAGGAAACUCUGGUGGAGGCUCGCAGCGGUUCUGACGUGCAAAUCGAUCGUCAAAUUUGGGUAUAGGGGCGAAAGACUAAUCGAACCAU
rnacentral:rRNA from 1 species